CUUGAAGACAAAGGAGGAGCAGAAGCUGAGCUUUUGGCUGUCAGUGUGAAAUCAUUUGUGUGUCCCUAUCUUCACUCUCUUCUUGGGGCUCCGAUCCUCCUCUUUGCUGUGCUUUCCUUGCACAGUCCAUACCAGGAAUCCCCUCACGGGGCCUACCAUUCUGCAGCUGAAGAAACCACUGCUCCUGUUGACUCCCCCAGAGUAUCGAUUUCGGCCUCCCGCACUGCCAUGGCUGACUGACACCAAUCACAGAUGUUGCCUUCUCUGCCAACUGCAGAGGCCAUCCUGCCAUUAAAAGCCAAUGCCGCUGCCACCAUCUCGAGUCCUGUGCUGGUGCCAUCACUCAGCUCAGGACCCGCAAUCACUGCUGUCGGGUGUUUCCUGAAGGCUCACUCCUUCUGUGCUGGGCUCACUGUCCUCAAACAACUGCCUUCUGCUGCUGCUGCCAUACAUGCUCAGGAAGCCAGGCUUGCUGUCACCCUGUCAAGUCCAGCAGAAGGCCUCAUCGUCAGCCGUCACCGAAGCAACUAUGAGGAAUGACUGCAGAUGACCCUGUGGCCUCCUGGAACCUCACCCGAAGCCUGAACUAGGUGUUGAGGCAGCACUAGACCGCCUCGACAGAAGCCACAAGGAACCUGAACUCAUCUCCAUCAUUGUUGCUGGGACUGAGUUCAUGCUGCUGAGCCUACUUGUCACUGGGACCAAACAUUUCACCAAGAGAUAAGUAAAAUAGAAUAAAAAAGAAAAUAAAACGAGAGAAGAGAGAGAGAAAAAAUAAACAAACAAAAA